rnacentral:rRNA from 1 species
AUUGAACGCUGGCGGCAUGCUUUACACAUGCAAGUCGAACGGCAGCGCGGGCUUCGGCCUGGCGGCGAGUGGCGCACGGGUGAGUAAUACAUCGGAACGUGCCCAGUAGUGGGGGAUAGCUCGGCGAAAGCCGGAUUAAUACCGCAUACGACCUGAGGGUGAAAGCGGGGGAUCUUCGGACCUCGCGCUAUUGGAGCGGCCGAUGGCAGAUUAGCUAGUUGGUGGGGUAAAGGCCUACCAAGGCGACGAUCUGUAGCUGGUCUGAGAGGACGACCAGCCACCCGGGGGCUGGGACAGCGACCAGGGUACUGAGGUAGGGCGCAGAGGGGAAUGUUAGGCAACAGGGGGAAGUCUUGCACAAUAAGGGCGCGUGUGAUGUAGAGGCCCCGCGGGUGGAAAGCACUUUUGGCGGGAACGAAAAGGACUGUGCCAAUACCACGGUUCGAUGACGGUACCCGCAGAAUAAGCACCGGCUAACUACGUG